rnacentral:lncRNA from 1 species
GCGGCGUGUGCUUCUUCCAAAAGGAGAUAAUCGUGCUUCUUGAAUAAUAAAGAAAUAAUAUUGUGUUGCUUCAAUGUGUCUCCCUUUGUGUGCAAUUCAUGAAGAAUGAAACGAAUGUGAUUAAAUCAGUGUCUGUGCCAUGAUGAAUCACCCUGUGUGCACAUUGUAAUCAAAAGAAAAAUUAAAUAAUUAGCAUAAAAACGUAACAGCUUA